AAUGAACGCUGGCGGCGUGCCUAACACAUGCAAGUCGUGCGCGAACGGGACUUCGGUCCCUAGUAGAGCGGCGAACGGGUGAGUAACACGUGGGUAACCUGCCUGGGAGUGGGGGAUAACCUGGGGAAACUCGGGCUAAUACCGCAUACGUUCCCGGAGCUACGGCUUCGGGAGGAAAGAUGGCCUCUGCUUGCACGCUAUCUCUCCCAGAGGGGCCCGCGGCUGAUUAGCUAGUUGGUGGGGUAAUGGCCCACCAAGGCGACGAUCAGUAGCCGGCCUGAGAGGGUGAGCGGCCACACUGAAACUGAGACACGGUCCAGGCUCCUACGGGAGGCAGCAGUGGGGAAUAUUGGACAAUGGGGGAAACCCUGAUCCAGCAACGCCGCGUGGGGGAUGAAGGUCUUCGGAUUGUAAACCCCUGUUGAGAGGGGCGAAGGCUUUCGGGCGAACAGUCCGGAAGCUUGACGGUACCUCGAGAGGAAGCCCCGGCUAACUCUGUGCCAGCCGCCGCAGUAAGAC
rnacentral:rRNA from 1 species